CCUGGUGGCUCAGUUGGUAGAGAAUCUGCCUGCAAUGCAGGAGACCUGGGUUCGAUCCCUGGGUCAGGA
rnacentral:tRNA from 1 species